UUGCCCUAGUAACGGCGAGUGAAGCGGCAACAGCUCAAAUUUGAAAUCUGGCCUCGGCCCGAGUUGUAAUUUGUAGAGGAUGCUUUUGGCGCGGUGCCUUCCGAGUUCCCUGGAACGGGACGCCUUAGAGGGUGAGAGCCCCGUACGGUCGGACACCUAGCCUCUGUAAAGCUCCUUCGACGAGUCGAGUAGUUUGGGAAUGCUGCUCUAAAUGGGAGGUAAAUUUCUUCUAAAGCUAAAUACCGGCCAGAGACCGAUAGCGCACAAGUAGAGUGAUCGAAAGAUGAAAAGCACUUUGAAAAGAGGGUUAAAAAGCACGUGAAAUUGUUGAAAGGGAAGCGUUUGCGACCAGACUUUUUCCCGGCGGAUCAUCCGGUGUUCUCACCGGUGCACUUCGCCGGGUCAAGGCCAGCAUCGAUUUUCGGAGGGGGAUAAAAGCUUGAGGAACGUAUCUCCUUCGGGAGUGUUAUAGCCUCUUGCAUAAUACCCCUCUGGGGAUCGAGGAACGCGCUCUGCAAGGAUGCUGGCGUAAUGGUCGUCAACGACCCGUCUUGAAACACGGACCAAGGAGUCGAACAUUUGUGCGAGUGUUAGGGUGUUAAACCCCUACGCGUAAUGAAAGUGAACGGAGGUGAGAGCCCCUCGGGGUGCAUCAUCGACCGAUCCUGAUGUUCUCGGAUGGAUUUGAGUAAGAGCAUAACUGUUCGGACCCGAAAGAUGGUGAACUAUGCGUGGAUAGGGUGAAGCCAGAGGAAACUCUGGUGGAGGCUCGCAGCGGUUCUGACGUGCAAAUCGAUCGUCAAAUCUGCGCAUGGGGGCGAAAGACUAUCG
rnacentral:rRNA from 1 species